rnacentral:rRNA from 1 species
UACUCCUACGGGAGGCAGCAGUGGGGAAUAUUGCACAAUGGGCGCAAGCCUGAUGCAGCCAUGCCGCGUGUGUGAAGAAGGCCUUCGGGUUGUAAAGCACUUUCAGCGAGGAGGAAGGUGGUGAGCUUAAUACGCUCAUCAAUUGACGUUACUCGCAGAAGAAGCACCGGCUAACUCCGUGCCAGCAGCCGCGGUAAUAAU